rnacentral:hammerhead_ribozyme from 1 species
AUUCAAAUGACGAGUCCCAAUUAGGAUGAAACGCACAUCCUGGAU